rnacentral:rRNA from 1 species
UACAGAGGGUGCGAGCGUUGUCCGGAAUCACUGGGCGUAAAGGGCGCGUAGGUGGCGACCCAAGUCGAUGGUGAAAGCUCGCCGCUCAACGGCGAGUCGGCCACCGAUACUGGGUUGCUGGAGCACUGUAGAGGCAGAUGGAAUUCCGGGUGUAGCGGUGGAAUGCGUAGAGAUCCGGAAGAACACCGGUGGCGAAGGCGGUCUGCUGGGGCAGUUGCUGACACUGAGGCGCGGACAGCG